UACGGGAGGCAGCAGUGGGGAAUAUUGCACAAUGGGCGCAAGCCUGAUGCAGCCAUGCCGCGUGUAUGAAGAAGGCCUUCGGGUUGUAAAGUACUUUCAGUCGUGAGGAAGGUGUUAAGGUUAAUAACCUUAGCAAUUGACGUUAGCGACAGAAGAAGCACCGGCUAACUCCGUGCCAGCAGCCGCGGUAAUACGGAGGGUGCGAGCGUUAAUCGGAAUUACUGGGCGUAAAGGGCACGCAGGCGGUUAAUUAAGUUGGAUGUGAAAUCCCCGGGCUUAACCUGGGAAUGGCAUUCAAGCUGGUUAGCUAGAGUCUUGUAGAGGGGGUUAGAAUUCCAUGUGUAGCGGUGAAAUGCGUAGAGAUGUGGAGGAAUACCGGUGGCGAAGGCGGCCCCUGGACAAAGGCUGACGCUCAUGUGCGAAAGCGUGGGGAGCAAAC
rnacentral:rRNA from 1 species